rnacentral:rRNA from 1 species
GGUUAAGCGACUAAGCGUACACGGUGGAUGCCCUGGCAGUCAGAGGCGAUGAAGGACGUGCUAAUCUGCGAAAAGCGUCGGUAAGGUGAUAUGAACCGUUACAGCCGGCGAUGUCCGAAUGGGGAAACCCAGUGCAAUUCGUUGCACUAUCGUUAACUGAAUACAUAGGUUAACGAGGCGAACCGGGGGAACUGAAACAUCUAAGUACCCCGAGGAAAAGAAAUCAACCGAGAUUCCCCCAGUAGCGGCGAGCGAACGGGGAGCAGCCCAGAGUCUGAAUCAGCUUGUGUGUUAGUGGAACGGUCUGGAAAGUCCGACGGUACAGGGUGAUAGUCCCGUACACCAAAAUGCACAGGUUGUGAACUCGAAGAGUAGGGCGGGACACGUGGUAUCCUGUCUGAAUAUGGGGGGACCAUCCUCCAAGGCUAAAUACUCCUGACUGACCGAUAGUGAACCAGUACCGUGAGGGAAAGGCGAAAAGAACCCCGGCGAGGGGAGUGAAAAAGAACCUGAAACCGUGUACGUACAAGCAGUGGGAGCACCUUCGGGUGUGACUGCGUACCUUUUGUAUAAUGGGUCAGCGACUUAUAUUCUGUAGCAAGGUUAACCGUAUAGGGGAGCCGCAGGGAAACCGAGUCUUAACUGGGCGUUAAGUUGCAGGGUAUAGACCCGAAACCCGGUGAUCUAGCCAUGGGCAGGUUGAAGGUUGGGUAACACUAACUGGAGGACCGAACCGACUAAUGUUGAAAAAUUAGCGGAUGACUUGUGGCUGGGGGUGAAAGGCCAAUCAAACCGGGAGAUAGCUGGUUCUCCCCGAAAGCUAUUUAGGUAGCGCCUCGUGAAUUCAUCUUCGGGGGUAGAGCACUGUUUCGGCUAGGGGGUCAUCCCGACUUACCAACCCGAUGCAAACUACGAAUACCGAAGAAUGUUAUCACGGGAGACACACGGCGGGUGCUAACGUCCGUCGUGAAGAGGGAAACAACCCAGACCGCCAGCUAAGGUCCCAAAGUCAUGGUUAAGUGGGAAACGAUGUGGGAAGGCACAGACAGCCAGGAUGUUGGCUUAGAAGCAGCCAUCAUUUAAAGAAAGCGUAAUAGCUCACUGGUCGAGUCGGCCUGCGCGGAAGAUGUAACGGGGCUAAACCAUGCACCGAAGCUGCGGCAGCGACACUAUGUGUUGUUGGGUAGGGGAGCGUUCUGUAAGCCUGCGAAGGUGACCUGUGAGGGUUGCUGGAGGUAUCAGAAGUGCGAAUGCUGACAUAAGUAACGAUAAAGCGGGUGAAAAGCCCGCUCGCCGGAAGACCAAGGGUUCCUGUCCAACGUUAAUCGGGGCAGGGUGAGUCGACCCCUAAGGCGAGGCCGAAAGGCGUAGUCGAUGGGAAACAGGUUAAUAUUCCUGUACUUGGUGUUACUGCGAAGGGGGGACGGAGAAGGCUAUGUUAGCCGGGCGACGGUUGUCCCGGUUUAAGCAUGUAGGCUGGUUAUCCAGGCAAAUCCGGAUAAUCAAGGCUGAGGUGUGAUGACGAGGUACUACGGUGCUGAAGUAACAAAUGCCCUGCUUCCAGGAAAAGCCUCUAAGCAUCAGGUAACAUCAAAUCGUACCCCAAACCGACACAGGUGGUCAGGUAGAGAAUACCAAGGCGCUUGAGAGAACUCGGGUGAAGGAACUAGGCAAAAUGGUGCCGUAACUUCGGGAGAAGGCACGCUGGUGUGUAGGUGAAGUCCCUGCGGAUGGAGCUGAGACCAGUCGAAGAUACCAGCUGGCUGCAACUGUUUAUUAAAAACACAGCACUGUGCAAACACGAAAGUGGACGUAUACGGUGUGACGCCUGCCCGGUGCCGGAAGGUUAAUUGAUGGGGUUAUCCGUAAGGAGAAGCUCUUGAUCGAAGCCCCGGUAAACGGCGGCCGUAACUAUAACGGUCCUAAGGUAGCGAAAUUCCUUGUCGGGUAAGUUCCGACCUGCACGAAUGGCGUAAUGAUGGCCAGGCUGUCUCCACCCGAGACUCAGUGAAAUUGAACUCGCUGUGAAGAUGCAGUGUACCCGCGGCAAGACGGAAAGACCCCGUGAACCUUUACUAUAGCUUGACACUGAACAUUGAGCCUUGAUGUGUAGGAUAGGUGGGAGGCUUUGAAGCGUGGACGCCAGUCUGCGUGGAGCCAACCUUGAAAUACCACCCUUUAAUGUUUGAUGUUCUAACGUGGGCCCCUAAUCGGGGUUGCGGACAGUGUCUGGUGGGUAGUUUGACUGGGGCGGUCUCCUCCCAAAGCGUAACGGAGGAGCACGAAGGUUAGCUAAUCCUGGUCGGACAUCAGGAGGUUAGUGCAAUGGCAUAAGCUAGCUUGACUGCGAGCGUGACGGCGCGAGCAGGUGCGAAAGCAGGUCAUAGUGAUCCGGUGGUUCUGAAUGGAAGGGCCAUCGCUCAACGGAUAAAAGGUACUCCGGGGAUAACAGGCUGAUACCGCCCAAGAGUUCAUAUCGACGGCGGUGUUUGGCACCUCGAUGUCGGCUCAUCACAUCCUGGGGCUGAAGUAGGUCCCAAGGGUAUGGCUGUUCGCCAUUUAAAGUGGUACGCGAGCUGGGUUUAGAACGUCGUGAGACAGUUCGGUCCCUAUCUGCCGUGGGCGCUGGAGAAUUGAGGGGGGCUGCUCCUAGUACGAGAGGACCGGAGUGGACGCAUCACUGGUGUUCGGGUUGUCAUGCCAAUGGCACUGCCCGGUAGCUAAAUGCGGAAGAGAUAAGUGCUGAAAGCAUCUAAGCACGAAACUUGCCCCGAGAUGAGUUCUCCCUGAGACUAUAAGUCUCCUGAAGGAACGUUGAAGACGACGACGUUGAUAGGCCGGGUGUGUAAGCGCAGCGAUGCGUUGAGCUAACCGGUACUAAUGAACCGUGAGGCUUAACCUU